rnacentral:rRNA from 1 species
UGAUCCUGGCUCAGAAUCAACGCUGGCGGCGUGCCUAACACAUGCAAGUCGAACGCGAAAGGGGCUUCGGCCCUGAGUAGAGUGGCGAACGGGUGAGUAACGCGUGGGUAAUCUACCUUCGAGUGGGGGAUAACGUUCCGAAAGGGACGCUAAUACCGCAUGACGUUCUGGGUUUAAAGACCUGGAAACCAAAGCCGGGGACCGCAAGGCCUGGCGCUUGAAGAGGAGCCCGCGUCCGAUUAGCUAGUUGGCGGGGUAACGGCCCACCAAGGCGACGAUCGGUAGCCGGCCUGAGAGGGCGGACGGCCACACUGGGACCGAGACACGGCCCAGACUCCUACGGGAGGCAGCAGUGGGGAAUUGUUCACAAUGGGCGCAAGCCUGAUGACGCAACGCCGCGUGGGGGAUGAAGGUCUUNGNANAGUAAACCCCUGUCGAAUGGGACGAAUAAUCCGCGAGCUAAUAAAUCGCGGAAAUGACGGAACCGUUAAAGGAAG